AACCAGCACCUCAAGUGGUCAGGAGGAUUAUUGGGCCUAAAGCAUCCGUAGCCGGCUCUGUAAGUUUUCGGUUAAAUCUAUAUGCUCAACGUAUAGGCUGCCGAAAAUACUGCACAGCUAGGGAAUGGGAGAGGUAGACGGUACUCGGUAGGAAGGGGUAAAAUCCUUUGAUCUAUCGAUGACCACCUGUGGCGAAGGCAGUCUACUACGUAUAUACUGACGCUCAUGGACGAAAGCGUGGGGAGCGAACAGG
rnacentral:rRNA from 1 species